CCGAGUUUACAACUCCCAAACCCCUGUGAACAUACCUACAUGUUGCCGGAAUCGGCGGAUCAGCCCGCGUCCCCGGUAAAGGGACGGUACGCCGCCCGAGGACCCCUAAACUCUGUUUCUAUAGUGGAACUUCUGAGUAAAACCAAUAAAUAAAUCA
rnacentral:misc_RNA from 1 species